rnacentral:tRNA from 1 species
GCUGAUAUAGCUCAGUAGGUUUAGAGUACACCCUUGGUAAGGGUGUGGUCGGCAGUUCGAAUCUGCCUAUCAGCA